GAAACUCGGGCUAAUACCGCAUACGACCUCAGCACUGCGGUGCUGAGAGGAAAGCUAGCCAAUUCUUGAAAGCUAGCGCUCUUAGAGGGGCCCGCGCCCGAUUAGCUAGUUGGUGAGGUAACGGCUCACCAAGGCGGUGAUCGGUAGCCGGCCUGAGAGGGCGAUCGGCCACACUGGGACUGAGACACGGCCCAGACUCCUACGGGAGGCAGCAGUGGGGAAUAUUGGACAAUGGGCGCAAGCCUGAUCCAGCAACGCCGCGUGGAGGACGAAGGCCUUCGGGUCGUAAACUCCUGUCAGUUGGGACGAAAAGUCGUCGGUCAAUAGCCGGCGAUCAUGACGGUACCAGCAGAGGAAGCCCCGGCUAACUCCGUGCCAGCAGCCGCGGUAAUACGGAGGGGGCUAGCGUUAUUCGGAAUUAUUGGGCGUAAAGGGCGCGUAGGCGGCUUGGUAGGUCAAAGGUGAAAUCCCUCAGCUCAACUGAGGAACUGCCUUUGAAACCACCUCGCUUGAGGCUGGGAGGGGGUAGCGGAAUUCCCGGUGUAGCGGUGAAAUGCGUA
rnacentral:rRNA from 1 species